rnacentral:lncRNA from 1 species
GCACGGGCUCUCGUAUAUGGUUAUUCGUUAGGGAUCAACUGGAAUGAUUGUGGGGAAAAUGAGUCAACUGUACAGAGGAAUGUUUGUAAAGAUAUGCAUGAAGUAUGCAAUAUGCUAUGUAUGCAAUGUAUGAUCGAUCUCUUAUCUUUCGUUUUUCUUUAUAUUUUUCAUUCUUUCCUUUUUCAUUCUUUUUUUUCAUUCUUUUUUCAUUCUUACCUCCG